AUAAACGCUGGCGGUAUGCCUAAGACAUGCAAGUCGAACGGAAACUACUGUCUACACUAAGUUCAUCUUUAUUGGUGGAUUUUGCGUAGAUAGUAUUUUUAGUGGCAAACGGGUGAGUAUAAAAUACGAAUGUACUUUGAAGCAGAGGAUAGCCCACCGAAAGGUGGGGUAAUACUCUAUAAUGUCUCCGGACUAAAGACGCAAGUCACUUCAAAAGCAGCGUAUUCGCUACCAGCUAGUUGGCGGGGUAAAAGCCCACCAAGGCUAUGACGGCUACCGGCUCUUAGCGGAGAGUCCGGCACAAUGGGACUGAGACACGGCCCAUACACCUACGGGUGGCAGCAGUUAGGAAUUUUGCGCAAUGGACGAAAGUCUGACGCAGCGAUACCGCGUGAAGGAUGAAGUCUCUCGGGAUGUAAACUUCUUUUAGAUAAUCAUGAAGAUUGUCAGAAUAAGCAGCUACAAACUAUGU
rnacentral:rRNA from 1 species